AUGCAUAUGAUGAAUUACUCGGAUUCCCCUUCUAGACAUUAUGGGUGAUGCAACACCGAGUUUCUGAUGCA